rnacentral:rRNA from 1 species
CACGUAGGCACCAAGCGUUGUCCGGAUUUAUUGGGCGUAAAGAGCUCGUAGGCGGUUCGGUAAGUCGGGUGUGAAACUUUGGGCUCAACCCAAAGCGUGCACUCGAUACUGCCAUGACUAGAGUUCGGUAGGGGAGUGGGGAAUUCCUAGUGUAGCGGUGAAAUGCGCAGAUAUUAGGAGGAACACCGGUGGCGAAGGCGCCACUCUGGGCCGAAACUGACGCUGAGGAGCGAAAAGCGUGGGUAGCAAACAGGA